rnacentral:rRNA from 1 species
UACGGAGAGUGCAAGCGUUGUUCGGAAUUACUGGGCGUAAAGCGCGUGUAGGCGGCCUGACAAGUCCGGCGUGAAAGCCCGGGGCUCAACCCCGGAAGUGCGUUGGAAACUGUCAGGCUUGAGUACUGGAGGGGAUGGUGGAAUUCUCGAGUGUGAGAGGUGAAAUUCGUAGAUAUUCGGAAGAACAUCAGUGGCGAAGGCGACCAUCUGGACAGAUACUGACGCUGAGACGCGAAAGCGUGGGGAGCAAACAGGAUUAGAUACCCUGGUAGUCCACGCUGUAAACGAUGGAUGCUAGUUGUCGCGGGUAACCAACCCUGCGGUAACGAAGCUAACGCGAUAAGCAUCCCGCCUGGGGACUACGGCCGCAAGGCUAAA